rfam:Candidatus Curtissbacteria bacterium RIFCSPHIGHO2_01_FTLL_41_11 rifcsphigho2_01_scaffold_800, whole genome shotgun sequence.
CGGGGAGUAGUAUAGUGGUAAUACGCGCCGCUGGGGGUGGUGUAUCGGGAGUUCGAUUCUCCCCUCCCCGA